rnacentral:lncRNA from 1 species
GGUGCUUCAACGUCUCAAACAUCAUCUCCGGCUCAUGCUGCAUUCCCCUAAGAACAUCAGCAGAGGACUGCCCCGGCACGGCUCUAGUCACAGCAAAGCUAUGAGGCCCAUCACUCUGCAAGACACGCACAACACUCGGCCCACCAAACAAAUUAUGCACUCCACCGAGCGCCUCCUCGUAAGCCCCUCCAAGAAACAUCCCCAAGAAGUACCUCCCACCACCACUCUCCAGCUCAUGCAACGGCAAGGUGGACUCGCCGCCUAUGAACUUAUCAAUCUUCCCGUCACUAUCACACGUCAAAUCCGACAAGACGCCACGAGUCCCCGGCCUCUGGUCGAGCUUAUGGAUGGGGACUAUAGGAAACAGCUGCUCAAUCCCCCAAAGAUCAGGAACCGAGGUGAAAACCGAGAGGUUGAUAUUGUAAGUCUGAACCGGAUCCGACCCGCCUAUAGCCUUUAAAACCCAUUCGCAUAACCCAUCAACAGAAGCUAACUGCUCAAUGCUCAAAACACCGUCUUUAAAGCCUUCAACACAUCUCUGCUUCAGCUUGUCAACGUAAAGUAAACACCUUUCUUGAUCCCCACGCAUCACAGCAGAGUACAGCUCCUCGUAAUCAUCACCUUCGAGCAAAAACUGAAUAUCAUCAUGAUCAGCUUGAUGUUUAACCGUUGAGACAGCUUCAAAGAUCAACACUGAGUGAUGAGAGACGAUAGCUCUUCCGCUUUCACUACAUAUCACAGGAUGCUUCACCGAUCUCCUCUCGCAUACAAACCUAACAGAAGCUACAACAGCUUCAGCGUACUCCUCGAGAGUAUAAGCCACAGAGAGAUCACUCUCUCCGGACUUAGACCCGUCGUAGUCAAUCCCCAACCCGCCACCAAUGUCUAUAACCUUCAUGUUCGCGCCGAGACGGACAAGCUCACAGUAGAGCUGAGCAGCUUCUGAGACACCAUCAGAUAGCAACGAAGUGGAUGGGAUCUGCGAGCCGAUGUGGAAAUGCAAAAGCUGGAGACAGUCAAGCAUACAAGCUUCACUAAGCUUCCUCACGACACGAACUAUCUGAGUAGUGGUCAAACCGAACUUCCCCUUCUCACCCGAAGUUGAACCGAAGUGACCAGAGUGUUUAGUCCUAAGCUUGGCUCGUAAACCAAUCACAGGCCUCACGUUCAUCUUGUGGCUAAGAUCGAUAACAAGAUCAAGCUCCUCUUCUUGCUCCAACACAAUCACAGUGUUCAACGCUAGCUUCCUUCCCAACAGAGCUAGCGAGACAUACUCAGCGUCUUUGAAGCCGUUACAUAUAAGAAAGGCUUCGUUGUUGCCUUUACAUAAACAACUCAUAGCGAGGAGGAUCUCCGGUUUAGAUCCAGCUUCCAAACCGAACCGGAAUUGAGAUCCGAAUCUCACAAUGUCCUCCACGACGAACCGGUCUUGAUUGCAUUUCACCGGGUACACUCCUUGGUAAUGAGACUCGUACCCUUGGCUCUGUACCGCGAAAUCGAACGCGGAUUGGAGACACUCGAGGCGGUUUUUAAGAACGUCAGGGAACCGGACGAUAACCGGGAGGUGUAAUCCUAAACCGCCGGUUUGUUUCGGAUCUGUUACUUUCUUGACGAGUUUCAACAGAUCGAUGUCUUGAUGAGGGAGAGUGUUGGAGCCGUGAGGGCGAACGGAGAUGUUGCCGGAGGAGUUGGCGGAGAAGUAAGGAGCUCCCCAUCCGUCGAUGCGGUAGAGAGAGGAGGAGAGAGAGGGGCUCCACGUGUCGACGACGGCGGCGGUGGAGGAAGGCUGUGGUGACGGUGGGAUGAACACGUCGGUGGUGUAGGUGUCGACGCAAGCUAAAGCAGGCAUCUUGAUUCAAUACUCUGUUUUUGACGAAUCUAUUCGAAAGGUUUGAGGUGAAAACCGAGAGGUUGAUAUUGUAAGUCUGAACCGGAUCCGACCCGCCUAUAGCCUUUAAAACCCAUUCGCAUAACCCAUCAACAGAAGCUAACUGCUCAAUGCUCAAAACACCGUCUUUAAAGCCUUCAACACAUCUCUGCUUCAGCUUG